AUGCAGUUGAGCGGUAAGGCCCCUUCGGGGGUACACGAGCAGCGAACGGGCGAGUAUCGCGUGGGUAAUCUACCUAGAGGUGGGGGAUAGCCUCGGGAAACCGAGGGUAAUACCGCAUGAGUCCUCAACGGCAUAAGUCGAUGAGGGGAAAGGCGGGGCUCCUUCGGGACCUGUCGCCUCCGGAUGAGCCCGCGUCCGAUUAGCUAGUUGGUGGGGUAAUGGCCUACCAAGGCAGCGAUCGGUAGCCGGCCUGAGAGGGUGAACGGCCACAUUGGGACUGAGACACGGCCCAGACUCCUACGGGAGGCAGCAGUGGGGAAUUUUGGGCAAUGGGGGAAACCCUGACCCAGCGACGCCGCGUGGAGGAUGACGGCCUUCGGGUUGUAAACUCCUGUCAGGUGGGAAGAAAAGCCAGUCGGAUAAUACCCGGCAGGAAUUGACGGUACCACCAAAGGAAGCCCCGGCUAACUCCGUGCCAGCAGCCGCGGUAAUACG
rnacentral:rRNA from 1 species